GAUGAACGCUAGCGGCAGGCCUAACACAUGCAAGUCGAGGGGUAGCAGGAUUAAGCUUGCUUAAUUGCUGACGACCGGCGCACGGGCGCGUAACGCGUAUGCAACCUACCUUAUACUGGGGUAUAGCCCGGAGAAAUUCGAAUUAAUCCCCCAUAGUACUAAUGAAUCGCAUGGUUUAUUAGUUAAAGCAUUGCGGUAUAAGAUGGGCAUGCGUCCUAUUAGCUAGAUGGUGAGGUAACGGCUCACCAUGGCUACGAUAGGCAGGGGGCCUGAGAGGGUGGUCCCCCACACUGGUACUGAGACACGGACCAGACUCCUACGGGAGGCAGCAGUGAGGAAUAUUGGUCAAUGGGCGCAAGCCUGAACCAGCCAUGCCGCGUGCAGGAAGAAUGCCCUAUGGGUUGUAAACUGCUUUUAUUUGGGAAUAAACCUCUUUACGUGUAGAGAGCUGAAGGUACCAAAUGAAUAAGCACCGGCUAACUCCGUGCCAGCCGCCGCCGUAC
rnacentral:rRNA from 1 species